AACGAACGCUGGCGGCAGGCUUAACACAUGCAAGUCGAACGCAUCGCAAGAUGAGUGGCAGACGGGAGUAACGCGUGGGAACAUACCCUUUUCUACGGAAUAGCUCUGGGAAACUGGAAUUAAUACCGUAUACGCCCUACGGGGGAAAGAUUUAUCGGGAAGGAUUGGCCCGCGUUGGAUUAGCUAGUUGGUGGGGUAAAGGCCUACCAAGGCGACGAUCCAUAGCUGGUCUGAGAGGAUGAUCAGCCACAUUGGGACUGAGACACGGCCCAAACUCCUACGGGAGGCAGCAGUGGGGAAUAUUGGACAAUGGGCGCAAGCCUGAUCCAGCCAUGCCGCGUGAGUGAUGAAGGCCUUAGGGUUGUAAAGCUCUUUCACCGAUGAAGAUAAUGACGGUAGUCGGAGAAGAAGCCCCGGCUAACUUCGUGCCAGCCGCCGCCGUAACAC
rnacentral:rRNA from 1 species